GAUGAACGCUGGCGGCGUGCCUAAUACAUGCAAGUCGAGCGAACAGAUAAGGAGCUUGCUCCUUUGACGUUAGCGGCGGACGGGUGAGUAACACGUGGGUAACCUACCUAUAAGACUGGAAUAACUCCGGGAAACCGGGGCUAAUGCCGGAUAACAUUUAGAACCGCAUGGUUCUAAAGUGAAAGAUGGUUUUGCUAUCACUUAUAGAUGGACCCGCGCCGUAUUAGCUAGUUGGUAAGGUAACGGCUUACCAAGGCAACGAUACGUAGCCGACCUGAGAGGGUGAUCGGCCACACGGGAACUGAGACACGGUCCAGACUCCUACGGGAGGCAGCAGUAGGGAAUCCUCCGCAAUGGGCGAAAGCCUGACGGAGCAACGCCGCGUGAGUGAUGAAGGUCUUCGGAUCGUAAAACUCUGUUAUUAGGGAAGAACAAAUGUGUAAGUAACUGUGCACGUCUUGACGGUACCUAAUCAGAAAGCCACGGCUAACUACGUG
rnacentral:rRNA from 1 species